GCGGAGUCUGAUUACCGUCAGAUAGGGUUUGGGUGUGCAGAAGAUUUUCAUAGCAAUGACAAUUGCAGAAUUGGUGUUGUCCAUGGUUACUAUAGCCUGAAGGACCAUCCACGGCAAGUCGAAUCUCGAAUGGCAUGUAUUUAUAUGGAUUUGAGGUGAACCAACUGAUUUUGCCUUGCUGUCAUAUCAUUGUAAGUCGCUCUAAUCCUUUGCUUACACAGAUGCACAUGAUUUGCCAAUUUGUUCAGUGUGUUCGAUACUUCGAUUGCUGUUCUUUUUAGGAAGUGUCACGUGCCUAAGGUUUCA